GGGACGACGAGCAGCGGCACCCCGAACACCAGCAGCUGAGGACGGUGGAGCUGAGGCGGAGGCUCCGGUCCUCCCGCCCGGACUUGAACUCAUCCGAAGCCGCUUUUCUCCUCCUCCUCCGCCGCUCUUUAUUGUGGGGACAUAACGGAGUUACCGUGAAAGUGGGAGAAGUACCGAGAGACGUCCGCCACCGGCAGCCUGACAGCCGCCAGCAUGAAGAAGAACAGCUCCGGGAAACGGGGUCCAGGUCAGGACUCAGCACCUCCGAACACUCAGCCUGAAAAGGUCGGCUGGAUCCGGAAGUUCUGCGGUAAAGGAAUCUUCCGUGAAAUCUGGAAGAACCGCUUUGCGGUGCUCAGGGGAGAACAGCUGUUCAUCUGUGAAAAGGAGGUGAAGGAGCUGGGUCGGGCAGACGAGGUGUUGGACCUGACGGACUAUGAACGAUGUGAAGAAAUCAGGAAGAACAAGAGCCGAAGCAAGAAGAACCACAGCAAGUUCAGACUACAGCGCUGCAGCUCACCAGGAAACACGGUUCCCAACUUGAUCUUCCUGGCUGUGAGUCCGGAGGAAAAAGAAUCCUGGAUCAAUGCCCUAAAUGCUGCCAUCACCAGAGCCAAGAACCGGAUCUUAGACGAGGUGACGGUUGUAGAUGCUCAGCUUUCUCAUCUGACACGAGAUCGAGUGAAGAUUCCUCACAACCGACGGCUGCCAACCAGAGGUCACCUGCUAGCUGUGGCGUCCACGUCAUCUUCAGAUGGCAUGUUAACUCUGGACCUGAUCCAGGAGGAGGAUGGUCCGUCUCAUAAUGGCGAUGGUUGCGAUAGCUUCAGGGUCGAGUUGGACAAAUCGCUCUCCCACCUCAACUCAGACUGUCCCAGAUCUAAAACUGAUGGUGCUCUCUCUGCGCGGACUACAGAGGCUUCUGGGAAAUCCCAAAGCCUUCCUCGUGACGUGACGCCAGUGGGCCCCGUACAAACAGGAAAGCGGCUGACCACGGCAGAGAAGAACCGCUGCGCCUCCAUGGACGAGAUCCUGACGCAUUCGGAGACAAAAACAAAGAGCCGGACAGAGACGGCGGUGGCGUCCAGAUCAUCUUCCUCCUCGCCAGCGGAGGCUCCUAUCGACCAGCUGCAGGAGCUCAUCAGUCAGAAGCUGCAGAAAACUGAGCGGCUGCUGACCGAAGUGAGAGCGGAGGCGGAUGGGGAAGCAGGGGAUCGUGGGAAGGGAAAGGGGAAGGAGUCAGUUGAGGGAGCUCGAGCCGAAGCUGAGAGACUCCUGAAGGAGGCGUCGGCGGCUUGGAGUCAGGCCAAAGAGGUGCUGGAGGAGGUGAAGGAGCUGAAAGCACUGUACAGCCAACUGGACUCCAACUCCUCACUGAGCCCCUCCAACAGCACCAAACAGAACCAGGACCGCAAGAGCCCCAUGUGACAACCGAACCGGCUCAAACUGGUCUGAAACUGAAAUGACAAAUCCAUGAAGCUGAAGACAGCAGCUGCUUUGAUUUCUGUCAGCUGGAAAAGUUCCUAAAAAUGGGAUCGAUGGCUUUUAAUUUAUUGAAGGAUUCAGAUUCUGAUUGGGGGCGUUUUCAGACCUGCUAUGGCAGGCUUUAUCAGUCCAAUCAGACUCCAGUUAGUUUCUCUACAUGUUUUGGUUCUUCCACAAGACUCACACUCCAGUUCAAAAAGACAACCAAACAAUCCAACAGGUUAUUUGUCAUAGAAUGUAAUUCAAGUCAAAUAUGACCGGAUGAACAAACCAGAUUCUUUAACCAGCUGAACAGGGAUGUGUAUUGUCAAAAACAGAUGCAUUUCUGUAAAAUAUUCAAGUGUAUUUGAAGCAAAUGUCUAAGAAAAGCAAAAGAAAGAGAAGAAAGAGAAAGAGAAAAUUCGAGUGGAGCAGUGUGACCAAACUGUAGACUUGAAAACACCCUUUGUUUCAGUAGUUAGAGGGAUCACAGCAAUCCUCAUAGGAGCAUCAGACCUCUGCACUGAACUCUUUGUCUAAAAGACGUGCAGCAGACAUUUAGGAAAUACCUGAAAUACAUGUCCAGAUACAAAAAAAAUGUCUGGAUUGGCAGUUUUUUUUUCAGUUUGUCAGCAAAGAUUAUAGUGAAUCGAGUUGAGGUACGUUUAAUUGUGUUUUUAGGAAUGAAAAUGUGCCAACAGGAGAGUCUGCAGGUGAAAGACACCUGAUUCUGUCUGUUAUUUAUGUCCACAUGUGGUACUUUGACUUUGCAGUGUCGAUUUAGCAAAACAAAUUCACAGAAGUAGUUUUAUAUACAACUUGUGAGCAGGCACAGAAAACUAACAUGGGUGCAGUUAACGGUACUAAUGCAGGUUGAACAUGAAGAGGUGACGGAGUUGUUAAACGUGAGCUCAGAUCAGGAUUAUGUUACCAUCUUUGUGUUUGCUGAGUUUCUUUUUGGGAAAUAAAUAUCAGUAAAUAUUCAGCACCUCAGAGCACUUUGGCAUCUGAUAAACCCCAGCACAGUUUAAGAACUUUAUCACUGCUAUUUUAAGACAUCCAAACUGGCAAAAAAAAAGCAUGUAGGAUAUGAAAGAAAAUCAGUUUUCCAAACCUAAACCCAUAUUAGAUUAAGGUAAUGUUAACAGUUAUUAUUGUGGGAGUAGCUUUUUUUGACCAUAACUGAUACCCCAUCCGGUAAAUUCUGACAGGCUGCACAACUUGCCCUGAUAAUUCGUACCAUGUUGGUUUGUAGUUUUAUUACAGCACAAUCAAUACUAAUUUUUACCAAAAGACACUCAAGUUAAUGCAGCGUCAUAAACAAAUCCAAUCUAGUAGGAGCUGAUCUGAAGACACUCUAGGUUCAUACAAAAAGCAUCAGGGUUUUGUCUUUUAUGUCUGAUGCGUUCAGAAUGAUCAGUAAGAGGUAAACCUGAAACACUUAAAACACAAACUCAGAAGGAGAUGGAUGUGAAAGUCACCAUUAACUUCCAAAAAUCUGAAUGUCCCCUGAGAUUAAACUUGAAUGUGAAAAAUAACUGAGACUGGCAAAUGGUGAAACCGAAUAAUAACACAUUUACAAGGGAAAAAAACUCAAAUAUCCAAGACAGAACUUUAUAUUCUCUGGGAUUAAAGUGGUAGAUUUACAAGAAGAUACUAAUCAAUGAGAAAAAAAUUGAUAUUAUAAAAUUAAAUUUGUAACUGUACAAUAAAUAAACAGUCAAACCUUUAUUCUGAGCAUCUUAUAUUUGCUCUGAAUCUGUUUACAUUUACUUUGGGUUAGGUUUCAUGUGUUCAGGUCUGUUAGUUUAGAUCCUGUUCUUUUUGCUUUAUUACAUUUUGCUGAUUUUCAUUUAAAGAGUCACAGACUGAUGUUUGGUGCAGGUACAAUGACAUGUUAUGAACGCUGUGAACAAAUAGCACCAGAUUUUAGUCUCCAGACUGUGCAGAUCCAGUAUCGACUGGAUCCACCUUGGACUCUUUUUUUUUUUUUUUUUUUUUUUCCUUCUUCUGUCCGAAUGUGAAUGUUUUUAACAAACCGGAGGCUACAGGAGGUGAAUGAACCAUCAGCCUCCAUCAGUCUCAGCUGGAAUAAAAUAAAACUCAACGACUCAGGUUCAAAAAACUGGACUGGUUCACUUUCAGUUUAAUCCCAAAAUCCUCAGAGAGCCUCAAACAUCGUAAAGUCCAGCAGCAGGAAGCGUCCAACCCCCAAUGGUCUGAGUGUUUGUCUAGUUAGCGUUAAUCUGUAGAACGUCUAAAAACCUUACAGUCAGAUCUGGAUUAGGGACAAAUCCACACCACUCCACCGGCUUCAGUCUGUCAGGAUGAUGACAAUUCACUGCACGUUGUGGGGCCAAAUAUGUCACGAAACAGGAAAAAAUGGCAUCAAUGUGAAGAUGAAUGUUCUGUCACCAGUAUUUCUGAAUAAAAUGUGUUGUAGAUGUCAUUAAAUUAAUAUUAUCUAUGGUUUUACUAGUGAUGAAAUGGAAGAUUCUUACUGGGGUUUUUUUUAUAUUAAGUUACAUGGUCUCCUUAAGAAGAGUAUCUAUUAUUUGGUACUAAUGAAAUACAAGAUUAGCUACAUUUCAUUUAUUUAAUUUAAUAAAUUAAUCUCUUUCUUUACAAAUAAUGUAAGAUCUCAAAACACCCUCAAGUUUCCUGUCAUUUCUGUUCAGUGUGAAUGAAUUGGCAUAUUGUGAUUAAUUCCCUAAUGUUGUAGCGUAAAGAACAAAACUUACACUGAAAAGAACUGGAAGUUGAUAUCUUAUUCAACUACAACACAAUUUCACAACAGAGCAAGUUUUCCACCAGUUUGAACUGAAAUCUGU